AGUAGGAACCAAAGUUCAGACUGAGAAAAUCGAGGUUAAAGCUUCUGGGAUUUCUGAGCGCUCAGCUGGAAGUGACUGAGUAAUAAGGCGGACAGGCUCAGCUGUGGGAACUCCAUCAUGAUCCCACAAGUAGUGAUCAAUGAUACCGUCACAGUGACUUCACCAAAUGGAAUCAGCUUUCCUCAAACAGACAAACCCCAGCCUCCCCACCAAAGGCAAGACAGUCUGAAGAAACAUCUGAAGGCAGAGAUCAAAGUGAUGGCGGCAAUCCAGAUCAUGUGUUCUGUGAUGGUGUUGGCUCUGGGAAUCAUUUUGGCAUCUGUUCCCUCUGUUCCACAUUUUACUUCAGUGUUUUCUGUCCUGUUAAAAUCUGGAUACCCAUUUAUGGGGGCAUUGUUUGUAAGUAGACUUCUUUGGGGGAGUAAGAUGGGGAGGACAGAGAAGGGAGUUGUCAACUAGCUACAUUUCUGUCUACUGUGAAAAAAGGUCAGUGGUAGACCUUGCUCUCCUGUCGGUCAUCAGAGAAGGCCUUAGUGUAAAAGGGCAGCAGUUAUGUCAUCCUGAAGAUUUUCCCAUCUAAUCCAAAUAAACAUUUCUUAUGAAUCUC
rnacentral:lncRNA from 1 species